rnacentral:hammerhead_ribozyme from 1 species
AUCCAACUGACGAGUCCCAAAUAGGACGAAACGCGAGUCAACCUGGUU